rnacentral:rRNA from 1 species
UACGUAGACAGCGAGCGUUGUUCGGAAUUACUGGGCGUAAAGAGUGUGUAGGCGGUGCUCUAAGUUCGGUGUGAAAUCUCCUGGCUCAACUGGGAGGGUGCGCCGGAAACUGGAGUGCUUGAGCGUGGGAGAGGAAAGCGGAAUUCCCGGUGUAGCGGUGAAAUGCGCAGAUAUCGGGAGGAACACCAAUGGCGAAGGCAGCUCGCUGGGACGUGACUGACGCUGAGACGCGAAAGCGUGGGGAGCAAACAGGG